UAAUAGCUAUCUUUAAUUUACAUUUUGACACCUGAAUGCACAGAUAUGAAGCAGCUUCUCCUAUUGUGUGGAGUCCAUGCUGCUCCCGUCUCAGAAGGCUAUGUCUUACCAAUGAGAAAGGAUAAAUCUGGCCCUGUGGUUGAUAUUUGUGGGAAUGCAAGGUGACAGGGAGCCAACCUUGCCCUUCAGGGCCUUUAUGCCAAACAAGCCUAUAUUGUCU